rnacentral:rRNA from 1 species
UACGUAGGGGGCAAGCGUUUGUCCGGAAUUAUUGGGCGUAAAGCGCGCGCAGGCGGCCGAUUAAGUCUGGUGUUUAACCCCGGGGCUCAACCCCGGGUCGCACUGGAAACUGGUUGGCUUGAGUACAGAAGAGGAAAGUGGAAUUCCACGUGUAGCGGUGAAAUGCGUAGAGAUGUGGAGGAACACCAGUGGCGAAGGCGACUCUUUGGCCUGUAACUGACGCUGAGGCGCGAAAGCGUGGGGAGCAAACAGG